GAACAAUACAAGAUGGCGACUGAAAAAAUAACGAGGAAAGAUUGAUCCCUCUACAUUCCCCAUGACGUUUGGCAACAUGAGAUGUUGACACCAGCAACACACAACAUACAACAGCAAGUUAAAGACAAGAGGCACCACAGAAAGACAAUGCAUUUCAACAUUUUGAGCUGAUAAAACCAUGGAUGACUACAAUGAGUUGGAGACAGACAGUGAGCUGCUCACAACACAAACACAGGAGAUUUCAAAUGAGGGUCAACAUUCUGCACAACAUUUGCUGCACAACAUCUGCACAACCCUCUCAUAAAGGCUCAUUUUCCUGCGAAACUGCAGUAACUUUCAGCACAAGAAUGGUACUUAUAAUCAAGUAUUCAAAUGGAGAGAAAUAUUAACUUCAUGGAAUACUAAGCAGGAGGCUACUCUCUUCAAAAGACCUUGUGAAUGUAAGAAACAUCUAUCAACCCAUGCUGCAAGCUGCAUGAUGCAGUGCGUGAGGAGACGUCAUGUUUGCAAGGAUUCACUGAACUCUGAUGGAUCAUCAACCCUUUCUACAAACUUCAUUCCAGCAAAGACUAUUUGAACAAUUUGGACAUGUUGGCUUUGAGAUGCAGCACUGGAGUUAUCUAAUGCUACAUCUCAAAGCAUGGAUGUGAGACGGAAUUCCUGAAGACUCUUUGAACUCUUGAGAUACAAAUGAGAUGAGAAGGGUGUAUCACUGCACAGACACUAUGUGUAUGCAAGGCUAGAGACCCACCUUGAACAUGCACUCUUUGGAACUUUGCAAGGAUUCACUGAACUCUGAAGAAUCAUCAACCCUUUUCUACAAGCUUCUUUCCAGCAAAAACUUUUUGAACAAUUUGGACAUGUUGGCUUCGAGAUGCAUAAGAUACAAUUGAGAUGAGAAGGAUAAACCAGUUCUGUUGAGACUACACAUGUUCGUAAGGCCAUGAAGGCUAGAGACAUUGCUAAACGCACGUGGACAUUGCACUCCUCAGAACUUCAAUGUGAUCACCAUAAAACGACCAGAGUGUUUGUAUCGUAUCUAAAAAGCAAUGCCAGUAUUUAUUUAUGUAAAAUAUACUUACAAAAUUAGGGGGAUUAGUCUGUAAGUCGCCACCGUUUUCAAGAAAAGACUAACAACUUUUUUGAAAAGUUUUGGAAAGUUGUAAAGUGCUACAUCUUUAAAGAAAAAAAUCAAAAUCAACUUUUGUUUUUUGGCAAAAUAUCAUUGUCUUCCAAUUUCAAAAAUUGGCACAAUGAUUAUAUCACCAGAUUUUUAUAGUUUUUAAUAAACAGGCGACCUUGAAUUUGCCCUUUUCUUUAAAGUACAAGUGCUUUCAUAAUGCCAAACAAUGAGUUUGAAAAGUCAGACAAUCUGUGUGACCCAGAUGAGUUUACAAGUUUCUGAAAUGGCAAUUUUGUUUAGACAUUGGUUUAAACAAGAUGCUCUGUACAACAGAACAUUUUUGUUUAUAAAAAUAGAAAGUCUCAACCCUCAUGGUUUUUAAAAAUGUCAAAGAUGAAGGGGCUUAAACAUUUUGACACAAUGGUUUCAAAAUUAAAUUUUUAAGUUUUGCUGCAGGGGGCACUUCUUGAAAACGGUGACGAUAACUUUGUCAAAUAAGCACCUUAAAAAUGUAGCAUUAAGGUAUAGUGAUCUGUUCAUGCAUGUAUAGGAUAUUGAAGUGAAUAGGAUUGAACUACAUGUAGUAUUUCUAAAUAGCUUAUCAUGAUCAGUAUGCCCGAAUCUAAGUCAAGCAAGUUAAUCAAAAAGGAAAGGUUUAAGAAAAGGUUUGGAAAACGCUUUUGUAAAUAUUUUUUUAACUAUUUUUUUAUGUAGAGUCUCACUAAAUCCAUGGCAUCGAGUAGGAGGAUACUAAAACAAUAUUAGGUGGGACUGAAGCACAGUUGCUUCUUUAUAGGUUUUUAUCAGCUUCAACUGUAAACCAUCCAGCCUACUUUAAAUAGGACUAAAACAGUUAGUUUCUAAAACAGAAUAGUUUCUAAAACAGAAUAGUUUGUCAAGGCCUGUGUAUCCUUGCACUAAAAACCAUACAGUGUAGUGUGGGAUAAGGAAGAAUGGCUUUCCAAAAUUUUUCAAUUCUCUGUAACAACAAAUCUAUUUGUUUAAGCCACAAAAAAUAUCAAGUGAGGUUGAGUUAAUGAUAGACAUGUAAAAUGUUUAACACUUUUAAUAGAAUAGUGAACAAUAUCAGAGGAAUUUGAGCACGGUACUUUAUUGUUUAGAAUUUUCAAGGUUUGCUUCAUAUCUCAGCCCGUACCAAUACUGUUCCUGAUUGGAGACUGAUAUUCCUAAGUCUAGUCACUUUUUACUUCAUGCACCAUGCAAAGACUUCAAUCUUACUAAUCGAGAAGAUAGUUAAGGGCUCAUGUAAAGUUGAAGUAUUUAAAAUUCAGUGUAGAUAUUCAGAAAAAUUAACACAUUGUAAGUGCUUACAACUUUUUAAACCUUUGGUAGGAUAGUCCAGGAAUUGUUUCAAUAAUCAUGUUGGAUAUGACUUUUAAGGAAGUGCACUUAAGUCAAGUAGCACAUAGGAAUUCAUGCAUGAACAGAGGGUAAUUAGUAUUAUUAUAAGUGUUUUAGCUUUAAAUAAUUUGGGAACAGCCUCUCACAGAAAGCCUGCGCCUAAAAAUUAAACAUCUAAACAGAAAACAAAAUUGAAUUCCCACUACUUUGGCGCCACACUCUUACAUGUAGAUGUUUAACUUUCAUGACAUUGACCCAAAACGGUGUGCACAUCAACCAGGACCCAAAACCUCCUGUCAAAAAUAAUGUUCUCUCCCAAAAAGUGAACUUUCAAAAUCAACUUCCUGAAUACAAAAACAAAAUCAUGCAAGGUCUGCACCAAUGGAGAAUAUGAUAUAUUUUUUGUGCGUAUUCACAUGCUCCGUCUCAAAAUUAAUUAGAAAGAAAAAUUAGAAUAUUUUAGCAUCAUGAUAUAAACAAACUUAUUGCAUAUGUUUUCUAAAAUUUCACUUGAAGUAAGAAUUUAAACAUGGCUUUCUUGUGAGAGGCUGGUCUAUCUUAUUGGUAAUGUUAAUGAGUUAGUAAGAGAGUGGAGGGUGAAUCUAUAAUGUCUGUUGGUAAGAUGGGUACAAGAUUGGUCGUAAAGUACUUAUGCACUCACAACUUACAUGGACUCAAAAAGUCAAAAUAUUUACGGUUCAAAAUAUUGCAAGAAACUAACAUGUAAAAUACAAUGGCUGGACUAGCUGAUGUUAUUGUCCCUUACUUCUUUAACUUUAGAAUGUUUUAGAAAACAAUUUAUCAUGAAAGGUCUACUUGUGAAAAACACUGUUGAAUUUUGUUAAGCAGCAUGGACGAAUUGUCCUUAAAAGCUGACAUCUCAAUUCUGGAUCUUCCUUUUUUACAAUCAAUGGCAAAUGCCACAUGUAUUUAUUUUUUGCGAUCUUUUUAAAAAAAAAAUCCAAAUUUUACCUCAUUAUACACUGACAUAAGGAGUUCAACAAUAUUUUUGUUGUUUUCUAGACUGAUUUGCUUUUGAGAAAAAUCUCGAUGACACUCUCAUGUUGUAUUUGUUAACCUUUUAUUAUUAAUACGUAUUAUUACUAUUUUUUAUACUUGUCUGAAGUACAUUAGCCAAUCUUGUACCCCAGCAUUGACAAAUUGUCUCCAAAAGCUGAAAUCAAAAUUCUGGAUCUUCCUUUUACAUUUCAAAGUCAAAAAUUACACAUUUAUUUUGCCCAUCUUUUUCAAUGAAAAAUCCUGUUACUAAUGAAAAGUUAUUUUGUAAUUUACCAACAGCUCAUGAAUGUACCCCCUCCCCUUUUGGCACCCCGGUGCAUGCAAGCCAUCCUGGUGCUUGCGCGAGUGUUCCCCGCCCGCAGGUGUCGACAGGCUGGUUGGUGAGUUGCCCUCUGAAUGCACUUGAAGGUGUUUGGCUGUUUGUGAUGUGUCAACCUUCCCAAUACUUGGCGGUCUGGAUGAAUCAGAGACCCACAGUUGACUGUAACAUGGUAAGGAUCUGUUGAUCUAUGAUAAUUAAUUUUCUUUCCAUUAGAGGACGAUGUAUCCAUCUUCAACUCCAGGCAUUGCACAUGGAAGAAAUGCCUUCAAGUCUGCUCUGAACUCUACAUUUCAUGAUUUGCAUCAUGGUGUUUUGAUCCAUGAGAAUGGAAUAUCUACAAAUGUACAUUUUUGCCAAGUAUUUCUGAGAUGUUUGCCAUACAUAGGGAUUUUUGUCACAAUGUUGAAGCCAGCCAAUCAUUUUUUUAAACGAUCACAAUCUAAACUACCCUCUGCUUUGUGUUAAAAAAGAAACAAGUUUUGUAAGCAAUUAAUAGUCAAUCUUUGAGGAAGCAAAUAUAAAUCCAAAGUCAAUCAAAUUAGACAAAUAAAUUCAUCAGCACAAACCGUGAACAGCGGCUAUAAAAAUCAUUGAAGUAAAAAUAAAAUAAAAAUAUAGAGAACGACGCAGACCAAAAAGAACUACUUAAAGAAAUUUGAGCUUUGAUGAUAAAAAAAAAAAAUACAUAGAAUUUUCUCAGCGAAAUGUCUAUAGAAGGAAAAGCAAAUUAAGUAUUCAGCAAACAAGUUAACAAAGUAUUGUCAAAUUAGGAUUGAAAAGGUUGCCAUUUCACCAAUAACACUUGAAAAAUUAUAUUCUAGUUUAAAAAUCAUUCCCUCCUGCUAAAACUUAUACUUCAAGUGAAAAAUUUUCAAUCUGCCAAAUUGCAGUUUGUUAAAAAUUAAAUCUUACUAAAAUUUAAGAGGCAAAUCCAAACUCAAUGAAAACGAGCAACAUCUAAAAUGAUGUUUCAACAUUUUGCAAGAAAGUCAAGUUUGUUCAAAUGAUCUCUUACUGAAGAGACAAACAUAGGUUCCAUGAAUGAAAAUAUGUCCAAAUGAUCUUGAAAAUAAUAUGAAAUCCAACAUCUAGAUAUGAAGUCGACCAACGACUUUCAACAAACAGAAUUGAUGAUACGUUAUGUAUUAAAAGAUGUAAUGAAAGCAAAACUGCAUUGCAUGUAAUUCUCAAAUCUAGGCUAUACACUAAUUUCAGCAUGGCAAAAAAAAAAAAAACUUAAAAUGAGUUCAAUUAAAUUCUGCACUGCAGUUAAAAAAAAAAAAACUGUCUCGUUAAUAAUCACCAUGACAAGAAUCACAGAUUGAGAAAGGCACCAGUCUAUUGGAGACUUGAGCCUCAAUAUGAUUCAACUAGACUUGAAUAUCAGAAAAAUCAAAGUGGCUUAUUUUGGAUAAUAAUCCAUUUUCAGUGGCUUAGUGAACCAUUUUAACUUGUAACUCCAAAGAACAGUCAGUAUUUGAGCUGAAAUGUAAAAAUUCAGAAGAAGUAUUUUUAAAAUAAAAAUACUUGAGAUGUACAAAUGUAUGUGCCAGAUCUACAUAUAAAAACAUGGUAGUUCCUGGCCAAACUGUGAAAUCAUGGUAGUUCCUGAUCAAAUUGCUAAAUCAUGGUAGUUCCUUGCCACAUUGUGAAAUAGUGGCUCUUGGCCAAACUGUGGAACUGAUCCCAACACCGGGAAAACAAUGGGUGCCAAACUCUUUAAACUACUCUUAGAAGGAUGGCCUGGGGUGAUAAAGUAUAGCACCAUACUAUAAACUAGGGCUGCACAUUGGACGAUGUGGUGGGUCCCUCAGUCUCAACGGUAAAACUGUGGUGUCGACACAGGGGUCCCAGUCCUGUUAGAUAGGUCCAUGGUAACUUUAAUUGAAGUAAGAAUUCAUGUACUGUAACUAUACAUCCUCAGCCAUGCACUGAUAGUCUUCAAUCAAAGGCAAUACCAAGCAUGUUAGGGUUGAAUAUCAAUCAAGGCAUUGACCAAGGUCUUAGGGUUUGAAAUGGAGACAGGUUGUCUUCAGACCUGUGUGUCCCCAUUUAGAAAAAAGAAACACUGAUAUUUACUCUGUGCCUGCAAUGAGUAUAUACAAUUGAUUCAGUUCUGAACAAAAUAUCUUUACUUUGAAUGUGGGAAGAACACGACAGUUCUUGUAAAAAUCCCUGAACUUGUUCAUUGUAGUGACCACUUAACAAACCAAGAUGGACACAGGUCAUGUGAUUAAGAUAGAGACUGUUGCAGAAAAUAGACAUAUAGCACGGUGAACAUUCAGGACAAUAUUUUGCUGAUGAUACAUGAUAUGAAAUCCCUGAAAUAUCCCUGAAGCUAUCAUGAGGCAGGCAAAGUCCAACUCGAUACCCUCAUUAGUGGGUUACCAAAAUAAUGCAGGCACAGUCCACCUAGAAACAAUGUAGUGGGUAAAGAUACAUUGCAGUUGUGAUUAAGUCAUACAGACACUGCCCUCAAUGAUACCCAUAUCCUGGGUAGAGAGGGACUUUAUCACUGACUAUAUUUAGCCCAGUAGCUACUGUCGGAUCUACCUUGGACACAAACUUCACCAAAUGAAGCAAUGCGUCAUGAGGCUUUAUUGUCCAAAGCAUUACGUUUCAGUAUAUUAGCAUCCAGAAGCCUGUACAUGAAUGUACAUGCGAAGACAUUUUACCUCCUUAGAAUGUUACAGAAAAACCUCAUAUGCAGGUUUCUUUGUUUGAAUGGUCAAUGCCUUGAUUGAAAAUUGCUAAUUCUAGGCACCCUUAAAUCUUUAUUCAGGCUUGGGGUGUUCAGUAUUUACAAAUUGGAACCAACAAUACAACCAGCGGUUCUAUCACUGCUACCAAUCAGCCAGUAAAGGUUUUGAAGAAACCAAUAACCUUAAAACCAUUAUUUCUUGGCAAAUUUAUAGAACGGGUAGGGAUUUUUAAAAGUACCCACUCAUUAUACGAUUGACUAAAAAAACAGUCAAUCAUACAAUUGGUUUAGAAUUAAUGUUCAUUACCAACCUUGUUGGUUAUAUUUAACUUUAUUACAUAGCCCCAAGCCUGGUUUGUCCUUAAACAAUAGUAGGGUUACACCUUACUAUGAUUUCAGUCCUGAAAGUUCUUCACAAUUGAACGAGAAUUAGUCGACCUUCCCAUUUGUACACAACAAAGUAUAAUAAGGCAGUAUUCUGUUCAGCUAAAGCUUAGGUAACCUUUGAGUAUAUGUGGAAUCUUAGAAAUCCACCGUCCUCCAUCACUCCUGGCUCUAGGGCCAGUUAACAAUUCUCCCAACUGUCUCAGUAGCAAUCACAUGUAAGUUAUUGCCUUCCAGUGGGCACUUACAUACAACUUCAAGCAAUAUGUAAUGUCCUGAAUUACCCAAAACCCAGGAUAAGCUGAACACAACCAGUCUAUGGGAACCAAGUCCUGAGGAUAUAAAUCAAUAUCAGACAGCUUUGUGCUCAUUGGUUAGAACACAACUGUCAGUAAAGCACAAUGUUUUUAGAACUGUGAAGAACUUUCAGGGCAAUGUCUUACUCAACCUUGCUUGGUAUUGCCCAGCCUCGUUCCCAACAACUAGUCCAAAAUGGACAAGUUGUUAUUUAAACUUCAAAUGAAACUGGCCAGUAUUAUAUCCCAUUGGGCAAUGUGAUUUUAGUUUGUCCUUCAUAAACCCACCAAAAGCCAAACUUUAGCAGAAAUCAGUUGGUUUACACGCUACUAUCACCAGUAGCUGCUAUAGCCAUUUUACAUAUGCCAUCAUUUACCUUUUUUGCUAACAUGGUAAUGUAUUAAUACAAACUACGGGUGCACCCAUAAUUGCCCCCUGUUGGGGAAAUGGAUGUACAUGUGGCACUCACUCUAGUCCCUGUUUCCCUCCUUCAUUCGCCUCCAACUUACCUCCCUUUUGGGCAAAGUUUCCAUCGCUACCCCUUGUUGGGCAGUGUGACGUACCACAAAUAUCCACCCAAUAGCCCUUCCUGGGCAAAGUGAUAUUAGACUGGUCAACACCAGCCCACAUUGAUCCACACGCUACACCCACCACCAGCCCCUAAUGGGCAAAUGAAUUUAUAGGUGACAGAGUGAACCCUAAAAGGGUACUUCUGAUUUGCCUCCUUCACCCAAAUUGGGUAACCAACAACGCCUACCACUUAAUAGCCCCUAUCAGGCAACCAACAUCACUUCCCAAAAGCCCCUGUUGGGCAACAAAUAACACCACCACUUGCCCCUUUUUGUGCAACCAAAGCAACAGCACCUACCAGUAGCCCCUGUAGGGCAGUCUACAAUCUACCUCUUGCCCCUGUUGGGCAAAGAUUUGUAUGGCACUUCUGUAAGACUGUCUUCAGAAUUUUGCACACUGUACCAACUCUAGUAAACUGUCCCCCCAAAACCCCCAAAACAAAACAAAAACAAUACCAUCUGCCCCUAUUUGACUAAAGUGAUUAAUCAGCAAAAGCAAUCACUACUAUCAAUAUUCUAGACCACUCAAAUAGUUCCAUGUCAUAGUGAGAUACAGUGGGAUGGAUUACCAUGGGAACGAGGUAAUUAACAUUGACCUAUCGCCGUUCUCAACUCAGCCAUAUCUAGGACAAAUAAGUGAUAGCAAGUUGAAAACAAGCACUCUCAGGAAGUAGAUUCAAAUGAAGCAUUAGGUGUACAGCAGGCAUUUGAUGUACAUGUUCAUAAGAGAACAUGAAUAAAGAAACACAUAUUGGAUAUGUAUGAGUUUCAUCAUGUAGUGUAUACAUGUAAUACUAGAAAAGUAGUAAGAAAAGAAAAUUGCUCAUAAGGCCUAAUUGUCUUUUGGAAGGCCAUACAAUGAAUAAUAUGAGCACAUGACUGAGCAUCGUGUUUGGUCUACAUGUAGGACAAGUACAUCUCAUUGUCCCUGGGUGCUAAAUGAGCCUCAUUGUAUGUCAAGUAUGUACAAGAAGAAGUUUACAUACAUCUUGUAUGUAUAAGAUGCUAUCACUUUCCAGUAUUGUAGAUCAGGUUGAUCAUACAAUGUGCUAAAUAUAUUGUAAUUGGCUAUCAUAAUAUGAAUGGCGGUAGGUCAAACGUGUUUGAUUGAAGACUAUCAAUAAGCUCCAUGUAUUUUAGGGCUGUAUACACCACUGGUUUAAGUUGAGUAUUCAAACUUAAGUAGGAAACCAUAUCAUUAAAUGUUGUAAGAGAAUAAGGGGAAACUGUUACGUCAUAGUUGAAAAGAAAAACCUAAGCUGUAAAACUUCAAUGGAAAACAACAUGCAUUCUCAUCAAUUAGACCAGGUGUACAUCUUUUGUUGAAUCUAGUGGAAUGCAUUUAAACUUACUAAGACCCAGAUCAAUGUAGACACCAAUCUGUAAAAACGUCAGAGUAAACUACUCUACUGGCCACAAACAAUGAGCAAAUAGGAUUUAAACACAAGUAGGUUCAAACAUUGAACUUGAUCUCUGGAUUUUAUGUUCCACUUCAUAUUGUGGGUGGCACUUUGAAAGAUUAGUCACACAGACAUAAGCAAAUGUUAAAGGAUUAUUUUAAUCAGUACAGUAGAAAGAUGAUAGUUCACAAAGUUUAAUAAUAAUCUUAUAGAACAGCUGGAAAAAAUACUGGCGGUGAAAAGAAACUAGUGAUAUUUCAACUAACACUCUAUUGUGAGUGUAAGUUCACAGGUGGUAAUUUAUGCCAAAUGUUUGGAUUUAAUUACCCAUAGGAUUCCAGCUCUGUCACUACUUAUUAUUUUAAACCAGUGGUGUAUACAGUCUAUCCAAUAUCCAUGCAUACAACUAGCUCUAGGACUAAGGCCUUGCUGCUAUGAUUUUAAAUAACAGAGAAGUAGGCUCAGAAUUCUGUAGGCACAGGUCUUAUUAGACUGCCCAAUAAACCAAGAAGGUAUGUAUACCUUACAAAGAAUGUACAAGGAAUAUUCCAUGAGAUGUACAUAAUAAUCAUAGGAGGGUAGAUACAUACAUACCAUGCUGGGUGAUAGUAAAUAUCGCUCAUUAGUUCAUCAGUUACACUCAUUAUUGACUCCUUGGUACUAAAAUGCAGAAGGUCCAUCUUGUAUGAGGUUUUGUAGUUUAGGAAUAGAUCAGCAAGGAUUUCAAAUGAUUCGAUGUAGGAUGCAUAGAAUUCUGUGACUCUAAUCACAGACUGGGAUGGGAAGAAAGAUAUUAAUGUUCCUACAUUUAUUGACCUGUUGGUUAGAUAUUGGGGUAACAAAUACUUUGUAACAAGCAGUGUUCGCAAUCAGUCUGUGGUUGUCUUUUUAAGGUAGACAAAAAGAUAGAUGGAUAGAUGUAGGGCCUACUUGUACUUUUGAUCACAACUUCUAUAGUAACUGCUGAUCAGUUUUCGCAAAAAAACAGAUUUUGUAACAUUUGCCGGACGAAUGCAGUAGACAUUUCAACAGUAAUUUAAUUUACUAAAUGAAGUGAGAAUUUGUAACCACAGACAUGAACUUAGUUUUUCAUUUCAUUUAAUUUUAUAAGCAUCACAAUUCGUGGCACACAGGCCAAAUUGAUGUUAUUUCCAAUAGUUAAAUAGCAAUAAAUAGAACAAACAUAGAAAUGGAAACAACAUCAGGAAUUAUAGCUACAAUAAUACAGCAGGCAUAGCUACCAUACCAGACAGUAUCUACUCUAAUACCAGGCAUAUUAGGCUACACUAAGAGCAGGCCAUAGUUGUCCAGUUUGUACAAUAUAUGUACAAAAUAUAGUUCAAAAUGAACAGUUGUCAUGUGAGACUCUUGCAGGCCCUGGGAAAGCCCACACUGUUGUUUAAGGAUUCACUUCACCAAAGCUGAAGUGAAGAGCCAUCUUUAUUCUAGUUGCAAUCAGUUUGCUCAAUAGAAUUUUGUUUAGUAUUAAACACUUGUUUGUUUUUAACUAAGGUAAUUUAAGACUUAAAAGGCAAUAUGCUUUUAGAAUGACCCCUUCACCUCUUUAACUUCAAGUUGAGUUGACAGAGCAGUCAGGAAUAGUUUUAUUUGGUCAAAUAAAACUGCUGUCAUCGAUGAUAAAGUGAAGUAAAAUAAACCACUUAGCCAUCAAUAGUUUAGUUUAAAAUUUACCCACUCAGCAGAUACACAUUUAGUUCUAAUAAUGUAGAUGUAACCUUGAAUGCUUUUAAGAUGAACUCGUCAUUUCUUUCUUUAACUUCAAGUCAAGAUGAAAUCGCAAUCAGAAUCAGUUGAUUUUGAUUGGUCAGUAUGAAACUCUCCUUCAUUAGUGUAGAGGAAUAAUAUGUUUGAUUGAUCAGAAAGCACAGUAGAUUGAGAUGCGAACUCUGGAAAGCUACAGUCCUUUAACAUUUCAAGGACCAUUUUAAAUUUAGACUAGAGAAUACAAACUAUGAAAUAGUUAGGUUAUGAUGAAGAGCAAACUUAUUGGUAGAGUUGGCAGUAAAAACCAAGUACAAACCAUCUUUGAAUAUUUCCCAGGGCCUGCUUAUCAUAGGUUUACAUGUGAGCUUUGAAAGGUGCAUGGUAUCAUACAUGAGGAUGUAAUGUAAAGUGUACAGUGCAUGAAUUCGUAAAAACUUUAAUUAAUUUUACCAUGGACGUAAAAGAUGCAGGACUGGCAAACCCUGUGUCACCAAAGGCACCAUUAGUUUCCCUUGAUACUGAGGGGCUGAUUUAGAAGGGGCGGGUCCAUGAUUUCAAAAAGAGGAGGUGAAAUUGGCCGGAGGUCCUGUCAUGAAGGGGG